UACGAGGGGGCAAGCGUUGUUCGGAAUUACUGGGCGUAAAGCGCGUGUAGGCGGCAAUGCAAGUCGGGCGUGAAACUCCCACGGCUACAACCGUGGAAGUGCACUCGAAACUGCAUAGCUAGAGUCCUGGAGAGGAAGGUGGAAUGCUUGGUGUAGAGGUGAAAUUCGUAGAUAUCAAGCGGAACACCGGUGGCGAAGGCG
rnacentral:rRNA from 1 species